rnacentral:rRNA from 1 species
CCUACGGGUGGCAGCAGUGAGGAAUAUUGGUCAAUGGCCGAGAGGCUGAACCAGCCAAGUCGCGUGAAGGAAGACGGCCCUUUGGGUUGUAAACCUCUUUUGUCGGGGAGUAAAGCGAACCACGUGUGGUUCUUUGCGAGUACUCGAUGAAAAAGCAUCGGCUAACUCCGUGCCAGCAGCCGCGGUAAUACGGAGGAUGCGAGCGUUAUCCGGAUUUAUUGGGUUUAAAGGGUGCGCAGGCGGGUGGUGAAGUCAGCGGUGAAAGUUGGGGGCUCAACCCCGGACUUGCAUUUGAAACUGGAUGCCUUGAGUGCAGUAGAGGUAAGCGGAAUGCGUGGUGUAGCGGUGAAAUGCUUAGAUAUCACGAAGAACUCCGAUUGCGAAGGCAGCAUACUAGCGCGCAACUGACACUCAUGCACGAAAGCGUGGGUAUCGAACAGGAUUAGAUACCCGUGUAGUC